rnacentral:misc_RNA from 1 species
UCCCCUCUUUGCAUAUCCAAACGCAUCCUCAUCUUCUUCUACCUGAAAAUACCAACACGUUGGUUCAUGGCUUCUUCACUGUGAACUUCAACAAUCAUUCCUAUUGAAGUCUUGGACUCUCCCUCUUUACUUUCCCAAUGCCACUUCACUUUCCUCUUUCCCCUCCCUCGAUGAUCUCCUUCAUCGUCAACAAGUUAGCUCCUUCACAUUCUUGCCUCACCUUUCAACUAUUGUAUCAAUUUCCGCACCGAUUUCAAGUUCACACGCGGCGCCCACGCCAUCAAUUUCAGGUACGGCGUCGGUUCUCCACUCAUGCGGCAGCAGCAACCCACCACCACAACGGCUACCAGAGUACUCCUGUUGGAACAAUUGAUGAAAGAUACGAUGUCAUUGUGGUUGGAGGAGGACAUGCAGGUUGUGAAGCAGCCCUUGCAUCUGCUCGUUUAGGGGCAAAAACUCUUCUUCUCACCCUAAAUAUAGAUCGAAUAGCAUGGCAGGUUAUCAUUUCCAGCAAAUCUUAUAGGCACUCUUGGUCAUGUUGUUGAAUGCCAAGUCUUCAUUGGAGGAACAGUUGCAAUUAAUGUUUUUGGACGUAAUCUAUAGUUGCUCCUUGCAACCCAGCAGUCGGUGGACCUGCAAAAUCACAACUAGUUCAUGAAGUGGAUGCACUUGGUGGUGAAAUUGGGAAGGUUGCAGAUAGGUGCUAUUUACAAAAGCGAGUGCUGAACAUCUCAAGAGGUCCUGCUGUUCGAGCGUUGCGUGCACAAACUGACAAAAGGGAAUAUGCUAUGGAAAUGAAAAGGAUAGUGGAGAGCACUCCAAACCUUUCUAUCAGAGAGGCAAUGGUAACAAAUCUCUUGCUAGGAAAAAAUGACAAUGUGGAAGGUGUCAGCACUUUUUUUGGAAUGAAUUUCUAUGCUUCUUCAGUUAUUCUCACUACUGGAACUUUUAUGAGUGGUAAAAUAUGGGUUGGUAGAACUUCUAUGCCGGCAGGAAGAGCUGGUGAGUCAGCUUCACAAGGACUCACUGAGAACUUGCAACACCUUGGAUUUGAAACUGAUCGGUUGAAAACUGGAACUCCAGCCCGCGUGGACAUUCGGACGGUGGAUUUUUCCAGAUUGGAACCUCAGCAUGGGGAUGAAGAGGUCAACUGGUUUAGUUUUGAUCCUAACGUACACAUUGAAAGGGAACAAAUGUGUUGCUAUCUGACGCGUACUACAAAAAUCACUCAUCAGCUUAUAAAGGAGAACUUACAUGAAACUCCAACUUAUGGAGGGUGGGUUGAAGCAAAAGGGCCUAGAUACUGCCCGUCCAUUGAAGAUAAGAUUGUGAGAUUUCAUGAUAAAGAAUCGCAUCAGAUUUUUCUUGAACCAGAGGGUCGAAAUGUGCCUGAGCUAUAUGUGCAGGGGUUCUCAACUGGUUUACCUGAGAAACUACAGUUACCACUCUUGAGAACUUUGCCUGGACUUGAAGACUGUUCAAUGCUAAGGCCUGCGUAUGCUGUGGAGUAUGAUUUCUUGCCUGCACAUCAAUGCUCUAGGUCUCUCAUGACAAAGAAGGUCGAGGGACUUUUUUUCUCUGGUCAGAUAAAUGGGACAACAGGUUAUGAAGAGGCUGCAGCACAGGGAAUUAUUUCUGGCAUUAAUGCUGCAAGACAUUCAGAUGGUAAGCCCCUCAUUGUUCUUGAGAGGGAAAGCAGUUAUAUAGGCACUUUAAUUGAUGAUCUGGUCACCAAGGACCUUCGAGAGCCAUACCGUAUGUUAACAAGUCGCUCUGAACACCGGUUGCUUCUCCGAUCUGAUAACGCUGAUAGUCGACUUACACCUCUGGGGAAUGAAAUUGGUUUGAUAGAUGAUAGACGGUGGAAACUAUACCUGGAUAAGCAAGCUAGAAUUUCUGAGGAGAAGAAGCGUUUGAAAACUGUCAGAAUUUCAGGAGGGGAUUUGGCUGCUGACAUUACUCGUCUGUCUGGACAGCCUGUAAGGGACUCUUCAACGCUGGAGAGUCUUUUGAAAAAACCACACAUCCAGUAUGAGGUACUGGAUAAGCAUGGUUUUGGAAAUAAGCUUCUAUCUAGAGAGGAUAAAGAGUGUGUUGAGAUUGAUGUCAAGUAUGAAGGCUUCAUUAUACGUCAACAGAUCCAACUCCAACAGAUGGCCCAUCAACAAAACAGACCACUUCCAGAGGACUUGGAUUACCAUGCAAUGACAACUUUGUCUCUUGAAGCACGUGAGAAACUCUCCAAGGUGAGGCCACAAACUAUUGGCCAAGCAAGCAGAGUAGGUGGGGUGAGCCCUGCUGACAUCACUGCGCUUCUUAUAAUCCUAGAAUCCCACAGAAGGAAAGCCAAAGAACAGAAGAGGCACCAAAUGCUGAAUUCUGUUGUGACAGAAACAAAUCCCAUGUCCAAUGUCCCUUUGACCGAGACAAUCAGCACUUGAUGUGUUCCCUGUGCGCUAUUAUUCAUUUUCAUCGUUUGUCAGCUUCAGAAUUGUGUCAAGCAUGUAUGGCACUGGCAGUUCUUCAGAGGAGUCGGAGGCAAGAGUAGGAUGAAGCCGAGAUUUUACUUCUUACAAUAUUCAGGCCUUCUGAUAAGGGAUAAUGGUAACUUUCAACAAGCUGUUAGGCAGAUGGAACUUGAUGCAUCUGCCGUCAGUUGGCGUUCACUUGUUCUGCCUCUGCUGACUACAGUAAAAUAUGAAGGUUAGAACAGAAGUCAAGCCUCAAAAAUUACAGCAAGUGUUUAAGACGAAUUUGUUUGGCAGUUAGUCUUGGUUCUAACAAUAGUUCACAUCCAAAUUUUCUUCGUUGUUCUAUGAAAUGUAUCAGGCAAUAUGUAUAUCCUUUGAAUCACUUAGGUCAAUGACCAUGGUCGACAAGGCUAUUCGCCCCC